rnacentral:lncRNA from 1 species
CAGGCAUGAGCCACUGUGCCUGGCCUAAACCUGGUGAUUCUUGAGGCAUCUCUUUGUUCUCUGUUGCUAAAUUUUUGUGGUAACUGGACAAGAGAAACAGGACUGAAGCUGUUACUCCCCCAACUUCUGGGAGUGUUUUUGGCUGAAAGCUCUCAGUCAGAGCCUUGCUCUGGGAAUUGUCCUCAGCCAAGGAGAGGAAGAGUCAAACUUGACUUUUAAGAAGUGUUGAAGCCCUACAUUCCUUGAAAAAUUAUGCCGAAUAUCACCUGUACCUUUCAUUUUAUGGAUUGCAAAGGAAGUAGUUUACCAUGUGAUGUAAGUUAGAGGAUUGAAGAUUGCCCUUUGACUCUUGUGAUCAAUGAGAAAGUUUGCCGAAGACUUCUCUAUCUGUUCAUCAAGCUGCAGUCACUCAUCAUGAUGUGAGGCCUUUGCGAUUUAGUACUGACCCUUCCUCUAGACACUUCUCUCUCACUUCAUCAAGCUCAUCUCAUGACUGACCUUGGGUAGUAUAGUUUCCAGAGUGCAGUGCACCAGCUGCUGCUGCUUUUCCUGUGGUCCCAUGGGCUGCUUCUCCAGCCCCAGUAUGCACCAAUUUGUCUAGCUGGCAAGUACUAGUCCCUGAAGACUCAA